rnacentral:tRNA from 1 species
GGGCAUGUAGCGCAGUUGGUAGCGCGCUCGCUUAGCAAAAAGUUGGGAUUAACAGCUUACGUAAGCACAUGCGAGAGGUCUUGGGUUCAAAUCCCAACUUGUCCA